rnacentral:rRNA from 1 species
GGGAUCACACAAGCGGUGGAGCAUGUUGUUUAAUUCGAAGCAACGCGAAGAACCUUACCAGGCCUUGACAUGUACGGAUUAGCUCCUUGAAAGGGGAGUGACAGCUCUUCGGAGUCGGAACGUACACAGGUGUUGCAUGGCUGUCGUCAGCUCGUGCCGUGAGGUGUUGGGUUAAGUCCCGUAACGAGCGAAACCCUUAUCGUUAGUUGCCAGCGGGUUAUGCCGGGGACUCUAGCGAGACUGCCGUUGUCAAAACGGAGGAAGGUGGGGACGACGUCAAGUCAUCAUGGCCCUUAUGGCCUGGGCUACAAACGUGCUACAAUGGGUAGAACAAUAAGUUGCUAAGUUGCGAAACCAAGCGAAUCUUCAAAUCUACUCUAAGUUCGGAUUGUAGGCUGCAACUCGCCUACAUAAAGAUGGAAUC